AUUGAACGCUGGCGGCAGGCCUAACACAUGCAAGUCGAGCGAGUGGCGGACGGGUGAGUAAUGUAUGGGGAUCUGCCCGAUGGAGGGGGAUAACUACUGGAAACGGUAGCUAAUACCGCAUACUAUCGGAUGUACCCAGAUGGGAUUAGCUAGUAGGUGGGGUAAAGGCUCACCUAGGCGACGAUCCCUAGCUGGUCUGAGCGGAUGACCAGCCACACUGGAAAGGAGACACGGUCCAGACUCCUACGGGAGGCAGCAGUGGGGAAUAUUGGACAAUGGGCGCAAGCCUGAUGCAGCCAUGCCGCGUGUAUGAAGAAGGCCUUCGGGUUGUAAAGUACUUUAAGUGGGGAGGCGUUACCCGCAGAAGAAGCACCGGCUAACUCCGUGCCAGCAGCCGCGGUAAUUC
rnacentral:rRNA from 1 species